CGCCACCAUGCCAGCUAAUUUUGGUAUUUUUAGUAGAUAUGGGGUUUCACCAUGUUGGUCAGGCUGGUCUUGAACUUCUGACCUCAGGUGAUCUGCCCUCCUCGGCCUCCCAAACUGUUGGAAUUGCAGGCGUGAGCCACCGCAGCCGGCCAAAAAUUUCUGUUUGUUUGGUAUGCGUUCUUUUGCUUCUGAAAGUGUUGGCCAGUAUUUGGCCUGUGCCAAACAGUUCUACCAAUUCGGGGAACAUUUACAUGCUCCAAUUCCUUCUCAACCGUUUUCAAUCUCAUCCCCAAAUACUCUUUUUGGUGAAAUCCUUGUGAAAUUUAAAUUAAUUAGGAUUACUUUACUUGCGGUAUUAAAGUAGGUUAAUUGUAAAACCAAAUAGACUCUCUCCAUCCACCAAAAACUUAUAAAGGAUAUAUAAUAGGACAGUGUUUGCUCUCCUCUAAUGAUUCAGGGACUUAGGCUUCCAUUGUGCAGCCCCACCAUCUAUUCAGCUGCGGUGUCCAAUACAGUAACUACAUUUUAAUUUAAAUUAUAUUGUUAAAUAAUAUUAAAAACUCAAUUCCUCAGUUGUGCUUCAAGUGUUCAUAUGUGGCUAAUGGAUACCACAUGAGAUAGGGCAAAUGUAAAAUAUGUUCACUAUCUCAGAGAGUCCAUUGGACAGCCUUGUCUUCUUGCUGAACCUGGCCAAGGGGGAAAGAGAGAAUGGAGGGGUCAGGCCUUUCACCAGAAAGCUGUGGCCUGGACAUGGCAUACAAUUCUGCUCACAUUUUAUUGGUGGAAGUAAUUCUUUUGAACUUCUAUUCAAGGGGCCCUGGGUGGCAAAAAUUCUAUUCUGUUUACAAUAGAGAGUGAAUUUCAUUUAUAGGCAUUUCUACCACAUUAGAUCAAUUUAAUAAUCCAAAUAUGGCCUAGAGAAAAGCCGUUGGAAAUAGACAGAUUUAGAUUCAAGUUCUGCUUCUGCACGUUCCAAACUGUUUGACCUUGGGUAAUUCAGAUAUCCUGACUUAACCUCCUUGUUUUUAUUUAUUUUUAUUUUUUA
rnacentral:lncRNA from 1 species